rnacentral:lncRNA from 1 species
AAAUGUGGUUAAGUAUAAAUGGUAACCUUUAAAAGGGAAUAUUGGAUUGGUGUAUUGCUUUUUUUUUUUUUUUAACUUGCCUUCUUAGGAUCAAGAAAAGAAGAGCUUUUGAGCAAAUUAUAAAGGGAAGACGAGGUGGCUACCGAAAGGCCUUGGAAAGAGAAACCUCCUUAUGGAUUGGCUGCCACCCUCUCUCAAAUAUUUUUAAAGAAUCCAGAAGGUUCUAGGAUUAAAGGGAAAUACAAGGUCCAAAAGUUCUGUUUGUUUGUUGUCAAGGAACCAGGAACUCUAUGAUGGAAACCACAUCAAUGGUGUUGGUCAACACCUCAAUCUCUUCAAUGCUCAACAAG